rnacentral:lncRNA from 1 species
UCUCAUGAACUCUUCCCAUAGCAUAAGCGGAAGAUCGGUAGGACGAUCCCGCUUCACUCGCUUCCACCACACCUUCGCCGCUUUCUCAAGGCAAUGGGUGGCAAGAUACACCUUAUCCUUCUCCGAGGUAUUAAGGUCCUCGAAUAGGGUCUCCAUCGAGUCGAUCCACGACUCCACAACCGCCAGCUCCACCAUUCCACCCUCAAAGGUAGGUGGGUUGAACUUCUGGAACUGAAUAAGCGCCGCCAACAUGCGCUCUUGCUCCGCAUCGACUGCC